rnacentral:rRNA from 1 species
CUUACCUACUCUUGACAUCCAGAGAACUUAGCAGAGAUGCUUUGGUGCCUUCGGGAACUCUGAGACAGGUGCUGCAUGGCUGUCGUCAGCUCGUGUUGUGAAAUGUUGGGUUAAGUCCCGCAACGAGCGCAACCCUUAUCCUUUGUUGCCAGCGAUUCGGUCGGGAACUCAAAGGAGACUGCCAGUGAUAAACUGGAGGAAGGUGGGGAUGACGUCAAGUCAUCAUGGCCCUUACGAGUAGGGCUACACACGUGCUACAAUGGCAUAUACAAAGAGAAGCGACCUCGCGAGAGCAAGCGGACCUCAUAAAGUAUGUCGUAGUCCGGAUUGGAGUCUGCAACUCGACUCCAUGAAGUCGGAAUCGCUAGUAAUCGUAGAUCAGAAUGCUACGGUGAAUACGUUCCCGG